UCCUCUGCACCAGGUCGAACUCCCCCUCCAGGGAGGCGUCAAGGAGAAGCGCCAGUGGGUUGAAGCGGACCCUCAGCCCGUGCCCCGUCCUCUCCGAGUUGGGCUUCUUCAGUUCCUGAGGUUUCCACACUGAAAGAAAACUCAAAAGAUAAGGAAGUUUUAAUAGAAUCAUUCCUCGGACCCAGGUGAGUUACCUGUAGCUCUUGGUACAGUCUUUUCAGCUCCACUGCUGCUGGUCCUGUCAGCUUGCCAUUGUAAGACUGGAACCCAUUCAGUUUUCCCUUCUUUAAAUCUUCCAAUUGCUGACUGAGCUGAUCAACUCUUAAAAUUGCAGUCUGUACUUCUUGCUUCUUUUCCUGGAACAUGGCACUGAACCUUUCUAUUUCGGCAGCUAUAAUUUCCCACCAAUUAGGGAAAAAAAAAACCAUAAUUUAGUUGAUAUUCUUUUUUUCACAGUAUUUUGCUAUUUUUAUUUUGUGAUUUCUUCAUUUCUAUCCAUUUAACUCAACUUUAGCAUCAUCUAGUGCCAGACCUUGGAGAGAAAGUUGUAAUAUCCAUAAUCCAAAACACACUUCAACAAGCCUUUGGAACACAUAAUGUGACCGCUCAUAUGACAAACAAUUAAUUUGCACUAAUUAUUGAAUAUUUUUAAAUCAGGGGAAUCUGUCCAAAAGCUAUCUUGGUCAAGCCACUUAGGAAUCUCAAGGCACCAAAGAGACCAAGGCUCUGUGAGGGCAGGACCAUCCAAAUCUAUCUUGCUUAUUCUGUAACAUAAAGUAGGUACUGACAGAACUGACUGAUGAAGUAACAAUCCACGCACACAAAUAAAAAGUGAGCAUUUGUAUGCUUUAUCUUAAUACACAGAUAAAAUUUAUGCUGUUCAAUUAAAACAGACCCUCAUGAUGAGUUGAGUCUUAAGAGUACCCUAGCCCCAGGCUUCCCUGGUGGCGCAGUGGUUGAUAGUCCGCCUGCUGAUGCAGGGG